UACGUAGGGACCGAGCGUUGUCCGGAUUCAUUGGGCGUAAAGAGCUCGUAGGCGGCUGCUCAAGUCGAAUGUGAAAACUCGAGGCUCAACCUCGACCUGCAUUCGAUACUGGGCGGCUAGAGUCUGGUAGGGGGAUCUGUAAUUCCUGGUGUAGCGGUGGAAUGCGCAGAUAUCAGGAGGAACACCGGUGGCGAAGGCGGGAUCCUGGGCCAGUACUGACGCUGAGGAGCGAAAGCGUGGGGAGCAAACAGGAUUAGAAACCCCCGUG
rnacentral:rRNA from 1 species